AAACUCUACCAUCCUCGCCCUUGAUGCACCUAACUUGGUCAAGAUCACGCGCCUUCCUUUCCCUUUCUUUAGCUAACCUGAAUAACUUCCUGUCCCGCCUUUCUCCCCUAAUUCCUCGUACAUGCGACCAAACGCCGCUUUUUUUGCUCCCAUAACCGCCAUCUUUGCUUCUUUCCUCGCCGCUUUGUAGAUCUCCCUGUUCGCUCUCCGAUCUUCCUCGCUUGUGCUCCCUGCCAUCUUUGCAAACGCCACCUUCUUCGCCUCCACUUUACCUUGGACUACAUCGUUCCACCACCAGUCACCCUGAUGUCUGCCUGAAUAGCCUUUGGCUACCCCGAGCAUAUCUCGUGCUACCUCCCUAACCAAGUUCGCCGUCUCUGACCACAUAUCAUCCACUUCUCCAGAACACCCCAUCUAAUCCGCGGUUGUCCCCGAGCACCCCUCCUCUUCCUCUUCACCCAGAGACCGACAUCCAUCACUAGGAGUCUAUGAAGN
rnacentral:lncRNA from 1 species